rnacentral:rRNA from 1 species
UUCGCUGACGAGUGGCGGACGGGUGAGUAAUGUCUGGGAAACUGCCUGAUGGAGGGGGAUAACUACUGGAAACGGUAGCUAAUACCGCAUAACGUCGCAAGACCAAAGAGGGGGACCUUCGGGCCUCUUGCCAUCGGAUGUGCCCAGAUGGGAUUAGCUAGUAGGUGGGGUAACGGCUCACCUAGGCGACGAUCCCUAGCUGGUCUGAGAGGAUGACCAGCCACACUGGAACUGAGACACGGUCCAGACUCCUACGGGAGGCAGCAGUGGGGAAUAUUGCACAAUGGGCGCAAGCCUGAUGCAGCCAUGCCGCGUGUAUGAAGAAGGCCUUCGGGUUGUAAAGUACUUUCAGCGGGGAGGAAGGCGAUAAGGUUAAUAACCUUGUCGAUUGACGUUACCCGCAGAAGAAGCACCGGCUAACUCCGUGCCAGCAGCCGCGGUAAUACGGAGGGUGCAAGCGUUAAUCGGAAUUACUGGGCGUAAAGCGCACGCAGGCGGUCUGUCAAGUCGGAUGUGAAAUCCCCGGGCUCAACCUGGGAACUGCAUUCGAAACUGGCAGGCUAGAGUCUUGUAGAGGGGGGUAGAAUUCCCAGGUGUAGCCGGUGAAAUGCGUAGAGAUCUGGAGGAAUACCGGUGGCGAAGGCGGCCCCCUGGACAAAGACUGACGCUCAGGUGCGAAAGCGUGGGGAGCAAACAGGAUUAGAUAUCCUGGUAGUCCACGCCGUAAACGAUGUCGACUUGGAGGUUGU